GCGGAUGUAGUGGAUGGUGCACCGCUGCAUUUCAUAAUAUUGUGUGAAAGAGAAUUGAAGCAGCUGUCGGGGUUCGACUCCCCGCAUCCGCA